rnacentral:rRNA from 1 species
GACGGAGGAUGCAAGUGUUAUCCGGAAUCACUGGGCGUAAAGCGUCUGUAGGUGGUCAAAUAAGUCAACUGUUAAAUCUUGAGGCUCAACCUCAAAAUCGCAGUCGAAACUAUUAGACUAGAGUAUAGUAGGGGUAAAGGGAAUUUCCAGUGGAGCGGUGAAAUGCGUAGAGAUCCGGAGGAACACCAACGGCGUAGGCAGCGCCCUAGACGAGACCUGACGCUCAGGCACGAAAGCGCGGGGAGCGAACAGG